CUACUUUUGAAGAAAAAAUUAUGACUAUAAAAAGAUUUUAAUGGUUUAUAUAAAUUACAUUGAUUCUAUUUUAAGUGGAGGUGUAAUUCAGAGAGUUUCAGUAACCUUUAAAAAUGUUUAGCUUAUGACUUUUUAAAUCUGUAGAAUUGAAAAGAAGCCAAAAAGAUUUAUGAUUUUUCAUGACUUAAAAGCUGCACCAUUGGGUGGGCACAAGAGUAUUGAGCCUAAUGUUCUGCGUUAUCUCUUGGAUCCUGUUUUGCAUAUCAGGUCAUCUUCUAUCAGAGUAUAUUUACUACUUUUUAUAGUUUACUCUAAUGAGAAGGUAAUUAAUUGUAUAAGACUUAUUCCUUCAUUCAGAAUUUUCUCGUCUUCUAUGCCUGAAACUUAGAGCACUGUAUACUGAGGUCUGUCAUAUUUUAGAGGACAAGGAGUCUCAGAGUGUUUUUUAUAAAGAGAUGUAAAUCUCAUUACCUCCAGAAAAGUGCUAGAUAAGUUGCUUAAAGAGUUUAUAAAUCCUGAUAAAUAAUAGCCUUCUUCAUUUGAGAAAUCUCAUCUCUUUUUAAAAAAUUUUUUAAUCUUGAAAUAAUUUUAGACUCACAAAAAAUUGCAAAAUUAUUAGAGUUCCUGUGUAUCCAUCACACAGUUUCUCCCAAUGAUAACAUUUUAGCUAACCAUAGCAUAAUAUCAAGACUAGGAGAUUGACUUUGAUAUACUCCUAUUAACUAAAGUACAGACCUUAUUUGGAAUUUACAGUCUUAUCUCUUUUUUUUUAAAACUUUUUUUAUUUUUUAGAGUAGUUUUAGGUUUCACAGCAAAAUUGAGUGGAAGGUACAGAGUUCCCAUAUACUUUCUGCCUCCACACUUGCACAGUGUCCCCCACACUUGCACAGCCUCCCCCACUAUGAACAUUCCCCACCAGAGUGGUACAUUUGUCACAGUCAGUGAACCUGCACUGACACAUCAUUAUCACUCAAAGUCUAUAGUUUACAUUAGAGUUUACUCAGUGUUGUACAUUCUAUGAGUUUUGACAAAUGAAUAAUGACAUGUAUCCACCAUUGUGGUAUGAUACAAAAUAGUUUUACUGCACUAAAAAAUCCUCUGCGCUCUGUUUAUCAGCAACCCACCACCCCCACCCCCAACUCUGGCAACCACUAAUCUUUUUAUUGUCUCCAUAGUUUUGCCUUUUCCAAAAUCUCUAUAUGAGGCUAUCCUAAUAAGAUUUUUUCUGUUAAGAAUUUAUUUGUACAAUGAAAUUGUUUUUUCUUGUCUUCAGUUAGAUAGUUGAAUAUUGAAAAAUGAAGGCAAGUUUGAUGUAAUUCUAUGUAGUGCCUUGGAAUGUAAGAACUGUUCAGUUAAUAACUUUUUGCCAUAACAUUUCUUGAAAAGUUGUAUCAUUUUUCAGACAAUCAACUUUUUUCUCUUUGGGUAGAAAGACUUUUCCCACUCCAAAAUACACUGAACAAGUAUGCAAUAAAAAACAGUAUUUAAACAUUACCAUCUCAGACAAAAACAUACUAAUUUACUUGACACUUUCUACACACAGAUUAUUACUUCAAACACAUUUGAAUUGUGCAUCAGGUUAUUUUGCUUUGCAUAAGUAUGUCAGAUGAGAGAAAUGAAGAGGUUGCAUCUUCUAGAACAUUAGUCUGUUAUGUGCAGAUGCCAUUUCCAUGUGUUUUGAAGUUCCCUAAAGGUUUUUUUGUGUGUGUGUUAUAACUUAAUUGUUUUUAACUUUUUUUUUUUUAAAGAUUGGCACCUGAGCUAUUAUGUUGCCAAUCUUUUUUUUCUUUUCUUUUCUUCUCUUCUUCUUCUCCCCAAAGCCUCCCAGUACAUAGUUGUAUAUCCUAGUUGUGAGUGCCUCUGUGCUAUAUGGGAUGCCACCUCAGAAUGACGUGACAAGCCGUGCCAUGUGUGCACCCAGGAUCCAAAUGAGUGAAACCCUGGGCCACAGAAGCAGAGUGUGUGAACUUAACCACUCGGCCAUGGGGCCAGCCCCUGUAACUUAAUUUUAAGUGCAGUUUGAAUGCAAGAUAACCAUUAAUUCUCAGAAGGGUGGAAAAUUGGUGGGGGUAAAAUGAUGGAGAAAACAGAAUUUACCUUCCAAAGAAAGAUUCCUUUAUUCCUCUCCUCUACCAACCACCACCCAUUAUCAAGUUUUCCUUCUUGGCAGGUAUAAUAAAACUUCUUUGCAAUAUAUUUUAUGUAUAUUCUCUUAUGUUUAUUGCUUACAAACUUGUUUUAUUAUUCAGUUGAUAUGUUUUUUGGUAUCUUGGGAUAUAGUGUAUUAUAAUGUGCCCUAUUAAAAUUAAUGAAAAAAAAUUUUAUUUGAAGCUUUUUUGCUUAGUGACAGUGCUUCCAGGAAUAAAUUAAAGGCGUUAAGUGAAGGACAGGUAUGAAAUUUGAAUUUGAUUCAGUUUUAUCUAUUCCCUUUCCCCUUCCUUUUUUUAAGGUUAUUAUGGCUACAGCUCUGUAAUUGUAUGUUUACUAAGUUAUAAAUUCUUAAUAUGAUAUUAAUUUUCUCAAUAUUUUCUGUCAGUGUGGAUUUGGAUUUGGUUCAGGGAUUUCACAAAAAAUUAACACCAAGUUCUGUUUUGGCAGAUUUUAAAUAGAUAAAUAUGAUGUGUUUCUUUUUAAGAAUUAAGACUAUCAUCAAAGAAUUUUAUUGGCUAUAUGGCUACUCUUUGAAUUAAUUUAAUUUUAGUUCUUUAUUUUUUUUCCUGCUUUUUUCUCCCCCAAACCCCCCAGUACAUAGUUGUAUAUUUUAGUUGUGGGUCCUUCUGGUUGUGGCAUGUGGGAUGCCACCUCAACAUGGCCUAAUGAGCGGUGCCAUGUCCUCGCCCAGGAUUCGAACCCAAGGCUGCUGAAGCCGAGCGCACCAACUUAACUACUUGGCCAUGGGGCCGGCCCCAAAUUUUAGUUCUAUGCCUAGAAUGAAAUAGGUACUAUACCAAUCAAUGUCCAUUGAACUAGAAUAAAAGGUGACAAUUAGAAGUAAAACUGGGUAACAGUAGUUUAGUUUUUGGCUUCAUUUUUAUAAUGAGCUGAGAAAUGUUUUAAAUAUAGAAUAUUCAGCACCAUAAAUAGGAUAAAAGUACCCUAUAAAUACCAGAUGUUAUAAAAUCCUUUCACAUAACCAUCUUUUAGCCUUACAAGUCUGUAGUAGAUAAAACUUAUCACCAUUUUACAGUUGUGAAAGGCUAAGGAUUUUCUAAAGAUCUCACAAAAAUUGGCAAAGCUGAAACAAGAGCUCAAAUAUUUUGACAUUUUGACUCUCUAGUGUGGAGGUUCAUUUUAUUUUAGUGGGCAGCAACUCACUUUUAUAUAUAAGAUGGUUUUUCUUUUCUUCUGUAACUUGGGCAGUGUUUAAUACCCAUUUAAAAUAGCAAUUUGAAAAUAAAAAUUUGAUAAGAGUAGUUUAAGCCCAUGAUUAUUUCAUAGUUAAAUCAGCAGUUAUAGCCCUUUGCCACAUGAGGUCAUCAUAUACUUGAUUCUUUCCUCUGCUCUGGCUGUAAUCCAAGCAUCAUUAUUUUGAUGGUGAGUGGUUGGAAAAAGAUAGGAGCUGAUGAGAGGUCUUUUGCACUGCCAGAGCAAAAGCAUUAAUCGAUUAAUAAAUAAUGAGUGAAAUUUUGUGUGUAUAGAUAAAGGGGAAAAAAGAAAAUGAGAUGUUGGAUUAAAUACAGACAAUCAAAGACAGUGCUUUUAGAAAUGUUUUACUAUAAGAAAGUCUGCUGCACAACUCCCAGCUGCUUCUCUAGGUAUUAGAUUGAAUAAUACCAGUUGUUCGUUUUUUUUUAUGGGAUAAGUACUUGGUUAGAUAAUUAUGCUUAACAGGUUGCUAGGAAAUUUAAUUUCCUAAUGUUCCCUCAGACUUUAUAUUAAGGGCUGUCUUGCAAGACUGUUUACUAUUAACUUAUCAAUUAUGUAUACAAAGAAACUUACAGUUAUUUUUACUAUUCUGUGGAACUACAUGGAGCUCAGACAAAUGAUUAUUUUUCCAAGAACAAAAGUGUACUUAACAAAACCAUGAUCUAGAAAGUGAUUUAGUAACAGAGGUAGGUAAAACCUCAUCUUCAAGUGACCCAUCUUCUGAAACAUAUCACCUUUUGGUGUCACUUCAAAAUUGUGGUGGUGAUGCUGGUGCUUUGGCGAUACUGAAUAUGUUUAUAUGUAUGUAUAUGCACUGUUUUUACUCUUAUCCUUUGUUUAAACUAAGAUUCAAUCAAAAGUAAAGCAUCUCCUCAAGCUGCCAUUUUGUCCUUGCUGUUACUGUCAGGUAGAGUGGAAUCAUUUAUUUUAGAGUAGUAAAUUAGGAAAUUGGCUAAUGUUAUAAAACAAUUUAUGCUCCAGUUGGUUUAGCAACACUAGUUUGAUGUGUUAUAUAGUGCUUAGAAUACUAGCUAUCAAAUCACUGGCUUGGGAACAGACUAGUCAAUAUGGGUAUGUGUUACUGUUUUGCUAGUGGUUGACAUGAACUGGUUGCUGUAUUAGUAAAUGAAACAAACCUGUUAAGUAUGAUAACCAACUUUUAACAGACUGACCUUAAACAGACUAUUGAAUAUUGUUCUCUUCAGAAUACCAGUUACCUUGAGAGACUAUACAUUUAUUCCAAAGAUUCUGCCAUUAUUCAAAGCAUUCUUGGAUCUGAGUUUAAUGUGAGUUUAGUGUCUGAAUCAUACAUUUUUUAAAUGUGAUUCAGGUUCCUUUUGUGUAUGUGACUGGAUAUAGUUUUUUUUUUAAAUUACCAUAAAUCAUUUAGUGACAAGUCUAGUGAAUAAAACCGGUGGUAAAACUUGAAUAAAGCUACUUUGGGCCGUAAAAGAAACUAACAAUGAGACACUUAGAUUUCUUUUCUUGUUCAGCUUAUGAAAUAUAUGUAAAGGAAAUUCGUAUGUUUUUUAGUAAUUCAAAUGUUUUUGACUAAUGGCAGACUAAACUGAACAUGUAACCUCUUGUUAUGGUUAAUUUGAAGCCUCUACUAAGUAUAGAAGGUUCUGGUAUAAUUUUUAAAAAACCCAAAACAUUGUGUCCUAUAUGUUUACGUCUAGUAUAUACCAAUAGUCAUUGUUAAGUAAGAAUUUAUCUUUAAUAUUUUUAACAUCACAGAGGCAGUAGUGAUUAAGAACACAGGCUCCCAAGACAGACUGCUGGCUUCAAAUCCUGGCCCUGCUACUUACUAUCUGACUUUGGGCAAGUCAUUAUAACCUUGGGUAUGGUGUAUGUUGUGUGGAGGGAGAUUCACCACACUGUUCACUGAGGUUACCUCUGGGGCUGUUGAAAGACCAUCUGAGAUUUUAGGAAUUACUCUUCCCCUUGAGGAAGUUUGAAGCUACAUAAAGAUUGGAUUGCUGUCCAGGUUCUUAGCGUUUUCCUUUAAUUUUUUUUCUGUACUUUAUUUUUUGAGUGGUGCUGAACAUAAACAUCUUGGUGUCUCCAUUAAUGUUUCAGAAAAUUAUGGUUUUUCAUUUGUGAAUGUAAAAGUUCUGCUAAUUUAAAAAUGUAAAAGUAGCUGUAUUUUCAGAUUAUAAAAAUAAUAAAUAUUUGUUAUGGAAAACUCUCAGGAGAAUUUGAUGCUUGAUACUCCUCACACCAAGAGACCUUCCUUCUCUUGGGAAGUAGAUGAAAUUAAUAGGCUAUGGUUUUUAUCUAUUGUUUUUAAGCAAGGUACAUAAGGAUCUUUGUAUCCCUUCCUAGAAGAUAAGUUGCAACAAAGAGAACUCUCAAUGUCUAUAAAUUAUCUUUAAAGUCUGUUUGUUUAGAAACUGCCCUCGCUCUAUUUUUAUAAAAGUUAGAAGCUUAUUACUCUUUUGUUAUUUGAGUAAAAGAAUAUUGUGAUUAGUGUUACGAGUCCAGUAUUUCUGCUCUGGGAAAAUGAUAAAAAGGGCAGAAUGCUCUAUUUCCUACCCUACCCAAACUGUUACCAAGAUGUUCCUGCAAAGUGCAUGGUUAUAGGCUGCAGGCAAAAAUUCUUCAUUGCCUUCAUACCUGGUCUGGACUGCAGGACUGUUCAGACAGUUAAAGAAUGCCAUCUUUGGUGGAGCAGUGCACGUAAUACCGGGCUAAUACUUGCUAUUAUUUAAUAGCCACCAAAG
ensembl:lncRNA